GUCUACAGCCAUGCCACCCUGAACAAACCCAUAUGUCUGAUCUCGGAAGCUAAGCAGGCUAGGCCCUGGUUAGUACUUGGAUAGGAGACCACCUAGGAAGACCAGGUGCUGUAGGCA
rnacentral:rRNA from 1 species